AUUGAACGCUGGCGGCAGGCCUAACACAUGCAAGUCGAGCGGAUGAAGGGAGCUUGCUCCUGGAUUCAGCGGCGGACGGGUGAGUAAUGCCUAGGAAUCUGCCUGGUAGUGGGGGAUAACGUCCGGAAACGGGCGCUAAUACCGCAUACGUCCUGAGGGAGAAAGUGGGGGAUCUUCGGACCUCACGCUAUCAGAUGAGCCUAGGCCGGAUUAGCUAGUUGGUGGGGUAAAGGCCUACCAAGGCGACGAUCCGUAACUGGUCUGAGAGGAUGAUCAGUCACACUGGAACUGAGGCACGGUCCAGACUCCUACGGGAGGCAGCAGUGGGGAAUAUUGGACAAUGGGCGAAAGCCUGAUCCAGCCAUGCCGCGUGUGUGAAGAAGGUCUUCGGAUUGUAAAGCACUUUAAGUUGGGAGGAAGGGCAGUAAGUUAAUACCUUGCUGUUUUGACGUUACCAACAGAAUAAGCACCGGCUAACUUCGUG
rnacentral:rRNA from 1 species